UUUCAUCUCCGUUCCACCAGGUGGCGCUCUUACCAGGUUCCAAUGGUUUUUACUGAGCUGGGGAAGAAAUCCUUCUCUUACUUUGCUCCAUGGUCCUGGAAUAAUUUGCAAAACUUGCUCCAUUUAAAUUAUCUAGUCCCAUUGAAUGAAUUUAAGGCCAUGUUAAAAUGUCAUGUAAUUCAAAAAUGUAACUGCCCUAUGUGACCUGUCUUUUCCUCUAUGUGAGAUUUUGUCUAUGUUGUAUUUCUGUUUGUAUUUUAACUGGUGUGCCGUCUUGGCCAGUUCUCCCUCGAAAAAGAGAUUUCAAUCUCAAGGGACUUCCUAGUUAAAUAAAGGUUA